GUGCUCCGUUCGGCAGCACAUGUACUGAAAUGGGGCCAAUACAGAGAAUAAUAGCAUGGCCCCUGGGCACAGAUAACACAUGUAUUCCUAAAGCGUUACAUAUUAAA
ensembl:snRNA U6 U6 spliceosomal RNA